GACGAACGCUGGCGGCGUGCCUAAUACAUGCAAGUCGACCUUAGUGGCGACCGGGGGAGUCACACGUGGGUAAGCUGCCCAUCAGAAGGGGAUAACACUUGGCAACAGGUGCUCAUACCGUAUACUGAUGGAUGGACCCGCGGUGCAUUAGCUAGUUGGUGAGGUAACGGCUCACCAAGGCCACGAUUCAUAGCCGACCUGAGAGGGUGAUCAGUCACAUUGGGGUUGAUAAACGGCCCAAACUCCUACGGGAGGAAGCAGUAGGGAAUCUUCGACAAUGGACGAAAGUCUGACCGAGCAACGCCGCGUGAGUGAAGAAGGUUUUCGGAUCGUAAAACUCUGUUGUUAGAUAAGCGGUAUCUAACCAGAAAGCCACGGCUAACUACGUGCCAGCAGCCGCGGUAAUAC
rnacentral:rRNA from 1 species